UACGGGGGGAGCAAGCGUUGUUCGGAUUUACUGGGCGUAAAGGGCGCGUAGGCGGCCAGCACAAGUCGGUUGUGAAAUCUCCGGGCUUAACUCGGAAAGGUCAACCGAUACUGUGCGGCUAGAGUGCGGAAGGGGCAACUGGAAUUCUCGGUGUAGCGGUGAAAUGCGUAGAUAUCGAGAGGAACACCUGCGGCGAAGGCGGCUCACUGGACCACAACUGACGCUGAGGCGCGAAAGCUAGGGGAGCAAACAGG
rnacentral:rRNA from 1 species